GGAUGUGGCCAAGUGGUAAGGCAACGGGUUUUGAUCUCGCUAUGCGGAGGUUUGAGUCUUUCUGUCC
rfam:Gossypium raimondii chromosome 13, whole genome shotgun sequence.